rnacentral:rRNA from 1 species
GACGAACGCUGGCGGCGUGCUUAACACAUGCAAGUCGAACGGAAAGGCCCCUUUGGGGGUACUCGAGUGGCGAACGGGUGAGUAACACGUGAGUAACCUGCCCUUGACUUCGGGAUAACUUCAGGAAACUGGGGCUAAUACCGGAUAGGAAUCCUUGCUGCAUGGUGGGGGUUGGAAAGCUUCGGCGGUUUUGGAUGGACUCGCGGCUUAUCAGCUUGUUGGUGGGGUAGUGGCUUACCAAGGCUUUGACGGGUAGCCGGCCUGAGAGGGCGACCGGCCACAUUGGGACUGAGAUACGGCCCAGACUCCUACGGGAGGCAGCAGUGGGGAAUAUUGCACAAGGGGCGGAAGCCUGAUGCAGCAACGCCGCGGGCGGGAGGACGGCCUUCGGGUUGUAAACCGCUUUCAGCAGGGGCGAAGCUUGUGGUGACGGUACCUGCAGAAGAAGCACCGGCUAACUACGUG